AGAGUUUGAUUAUGGCUCAGGACGAACGGCUGGCGGCGUGCCUAACACAUGCAAGUCGAACGGGACUAUAUUGAUUAAUCUUCGGAAGCGUUGGUAUAGUUAGUGGCGGACGGGUGAGUAACACGUGAGCAACCUGCCUUUCAGAGAGGGAUACCGUUUGGAAACGAACGCUAAUACCUCAUAACGUAUCGUGACCGCAUGAUCGUGAUACCAAAGGAGCAAUCCGCUGAAAGAUGGGCUCGCGGCUGAUUAGAUAGUUGGUGGGGUAACGGCCUACCAAGUCGACGAUCAGUAGCCGGACUGAGAGGUUGAACGGCCACAUUGGGACUGAGACACGGCCCAGACUCCUACGGGAGGCAGCAGUGGGGAGUAUUGCGCAAUGGGGGCAACCCUGAACCGCAGCAACGCCGCGUGUGGGAAGAAGGUCUUCGGAUUGUAAACCAUUGUCUUCGGUGACGAUAAUGACGGUAGCCGAGGAGGAAGCUCCGGCUAACUACGUGCCAGCCGCCGC
rnacentral:rRNA from 1 species